rnacentral:rRNA from 1 species
AUUGAACGCUGGCGGAAUGCUUUACACAUGCAAGUCGAACGGCAGCACGGGGCAACCUGGUGGCGAGUGGCGAACGGGUGAGUAAUACAUCGGAACGUGCCCAAUCGUGGGGGAUAACGUAGCGAAAGUUACGCUAAUACCGCAUACGAUCUACGGAUGAAAGCGGGGGAUCGCAAGACCUCGCGCGAAUGGAGCGGCCGAUGUCAGAUUAGGUAGUUGGUGGGGUAAAGGCUCACCAAGCCAACGAUCUGUAGCUGGUCUGAGAGGACGACCAGCCACACUGGGACUGAGACACGGCCCAGACUCCUACGGGAGGCAGCAGUGGGGAAUUUCGGACAAUGGGCGCAAGCCUGAUCCAGCCAUUCCGCGUGCAGGAUGAAGGCCUACGGGUUGUAAACUGCUUUUGUACGGAACGAAACGGUUCUCUCUAAUACAGGGGGCUAAUGACGGUACCGUAAGAAUAAGCACCGGCUAACUACGUGCCAGCCGCCGCAGUAAAAC